rnacentral:rRNA from 1 species
AACGAACGCUGGCGGCAGGCCUAACACAUGCCAGUCGAGCGCCCUUUCGGGGGAGCGGCGGACGGGUGAGUAACGCGUGGGAAUAUGCCCUUCUCUACGGAAUAGCCUCGGGAAACUGAGAGUAAUACCGUAUACGCCCUGUGGGGGACAGAUUUAUCGGGGAAGGAUUAGCCCGCGUUGGAUUAGGUAGUUGGUAGGGUAAUGGCCUACCAAGCCGACGAUCCAUAGCUGGUAUGAGAGGAUGAUCAGCCACACUGUGACUGAGACACGGCCCAGAAUCCUACGGGAGGCAGCAGUGGGGAAUCUUAGACAAUGGGGGCAAUGCUGAUCGAGCCAUGCCGCGUGAGUGAUGAAGGCUUUAGGGUUGUAAAGCUCUUUCAGCUGGGAAGAUAAUGACGUUACCAGCAGAAGAAGCCCCGGCUAACUCCGUG